GAGCUGUUGAACAAUGGAGGAAUCAUGACCCUGUGCAUAAUCAUAUUCCAAGUUGCCAUGAGUCGCUUAUGCUGAGCUGGGUUUCCCUUUUCUUGUGAGAUAACCAUCUCAUCCCCACUACUCUGACCCGCUGACAUCUAAGCCGUGAUUGCUUCCACAUUAAGAUCCAUUUCUGAACUAGUUUCUGUUCUGUGCAACGUAAUUAAAGGUUGUACAUUUUCCACCACGCAGAUUUAUAUAUGUGGGAAAGAAGAAAAGCAAGUAUGAGAAACUACGUUUCGCCUCAUGUUUCUCCCUUGACCUUAGCAGUGGCUUCUACUCUGAGGAACCAGAAAUCCCUCAAGUGAAGAGCUGAAGAGCUUUAGUGGCCAUCCCAGAUGCUGGCUCUGUUGCAGCCAGACUGAUGGCUUUCAUUACCAUGACCAGAGUCUUGAGAUUCCGCAUGCAGAACUAUGGAACUAGACCAUGGUCCUGCCCGUCUCCCAGCCCCACUUCAUCACUAGCUCUGGAACACUAGACAAAUCAGAAUGUCGGGGUUGGGGGAGGGGAUACAUCUUCAUUUCCUACAGGAGAAGGGGAAAGUUGACGAAGUUGGUUAGAGACAGGAGUUGAGCACAGAACUCUGCAACAGGACAGUAAUUGGAGACUGGUUGCUGAGGGGCUAGCGAGCAGCUCCGCAUGUGAGCAUCCGGGUCUAACACGGAAACCCUCCACUGCAGAAGCGUCGGCUUCCCAGGCUAAGCCUCCGCCAGGGUAAAUAGACGGGGAAAGGUCCUGAGCAACCUUGAAAAGCAGUGGUUCUUGAUCUCACUGUGCCUCGACACCAGAUGCUCUGAUGCCUGGUAAAAGAAUAAACUUCUAAUUAAAAUGACAAAAAUUGUGUUUGAACUCUGGAGGCCAUAAGAACCUUCAAAUUGCUUCUUGUAAUGUGCUCCAAAAUGCAGACUCACGACUACCAGUGGUUCGUAGGAGGGAGAAUGUCCAAUUUCACUUUGUAUUAACAAUAAAAACACUUCCAAAAACACACAUAAUGGUGAUGAUCACCUAGCCUUGGCUAAGAGGCACUUAACCUUUGAUCUCCAGCUAAAUUACACUACCCGGAGGGGCAGCAUGCACGCAGCCAGGAACUUGGUUCUUUGGGUAUUGUUUUGUUAAUAUGGUAAAAUAAUUACUAAGUUUUUCAAAGUUCUUCUAAGGAUAGCUUCUUUCAGAUAUAGAUGAAAUGGGGGGGUAAGGACUAACUUUGGCAAAGACAGUAGAAAAGACAAACCAUUAGUUUGGUUUCAGUUUUCAGGAAACAUGACGACAACUAAUUCUUCCGAGCCUCUUUAAAAUGUUGCCUAGUGAUACUAUGAAUGUGCCGCCUCUUCUCAGAAAGGCAGUGUUCAACUUCACAGAAAUGCAAACUCCUAAACCCAAAAGCUUGCAUGCCAAAAGUCAGUCGAGUCCUGUUCACUCAGCCUAGCUGAGUGACUUGCCCUCACCUCACCCGUUUUCUCCAAUUAACCUCUCACAUGGUAAGCUCACAAGACAGUGUGGCUCAGCAGGUGGAGGUGGCCAGGCCUGCUGACCUCAGUUCAAUUUCUAGAAACCAUAUGUUGGAAGCAGAGAAGUGACUUCUGCAAGUUGUCUUCUGACCUCCACAUAUAUGUGUAACACAAACACACACACACACACACAUGAAAAUCUAAUUUUAAAUGGAGCUAGAGAAAUGGCCCACUGGUGAAGGGCCCAUCAGCUGCCCUUGCAGAGAACUUGGGUUCUGUUCUCAGCACAUACAUGACAGCUCAUAAUCACAUGUAACUGCAGUCCCAGGGCAUCCAAUGCCGCCUUCUGGCCUCCAAGGGCAUCAGGCACAUACAUGGCACACAGACACACACAUGCAGGCAUUCACAGGCAUAACAUACAAAUAAUAAAAUAUUUAACUCAUCAAGUGUAGAGGUCCCCUGGAUGUGUUUCAAACGCUCUCUCUAAGAGGGUGUCUUAACCUUCCUUCUGUGCCCGUAACAGAACAACCACAAACUCUGCAUUUAUGUCCUGCCCAAAGCCAAGGUAAGUGGUUCCUGCUUUUUACUGCUCCACUUAACUCCUUGGCCAGACCUUGUUUCCACUCGUCCUCCCAGAAUUUAAGAACUAGAACUUCACAGUCCCCCCUUAAAAAAUGAGGUAGAUGGGGGUGCUCAUGAGCAUUCCCCAAGCUAUGUCCCAGGAGGUCAUGAUGUGUUUUAGACUCAGACUAAAAAAAAAAAAAAGAAAGAAAAAGAAAAAAAUCUCACGCUCAUCUGAUGCUAUAAACCUCUUAGGGGGUAGGAGGUCAUAUCUUUCUUACCUCUCUAAAGGCUCUUAAGAAUUGUCUUUUUAAUCCUUCCAGAAUUUUCCAAGUUGCUUUAACUACAAAAUUAGUUUGCUUGCUUGUUUAUACCUCGGCACUUUCUUCUUCUGUUUCUCAAGGGCAUGACUUGCAAGGCAAAAAAAAGAAAAAAAAAAAACCAAAAAAACAAGUAAUAUUUGAACAUCCAUCAUGCCACGCUGGCCUGGUGUGUUUGUGUGGGCCUUUCUGUCCAUCACCCGUGUUUGGGGUUGCGGAGACCGGUAGCAAUUCUCAGCAUAUAUCGGCUUUCCAUUGAAACUGUGGUCACCUUUCUUCUUAAUCAUGUGCCACUUAAAGGAAGAAAAGGAUAGGUCUGCUUUCAAAGGACACACGAUAUGUGUUGUCUGAUCAUCACAAGGACAAAGAUUAUUGAGAAGGCCACCAAGGCGAGGGCAAGCUGACCCUGGUGCUGGGAAAUAUAAAAUUACAUUUCUCAAACUCACAUCAGCAGUCCGGCACUGGGAAGGUCAGCUUCAUCGGCAAGGUUUUUAACUUCAUUGCUCCCGCCGAUGAAAAGGGUUUGUUGUUCAAGGAUAUCAAUUAUAGCCUGAGGUUUGGGACCAAUUUGGUCUGAACGUGAUCGGAGAGAUAAAUAAAUGCAUUUAAAUUCUUCCUCGAAACCACAGAGCUGACUUCACACAGCAGUAAGCAAGACAGGGGACAUGCUUCAAAGGUGGCUUUUGUCAUUUAGUGGACACUGUCCAAGGAAGGAGGAAGCUUCCUAACAAAGUCGAAGCCGAAUCCAGGGUCCUAAAUGGCAUUGUUUGCAGUGUAGCUGGCUUACGAUUAGCACGUCCCUACAGUGAACAGGAAUUUUCAGUAGGAAAGGACCGUGGAAGGCUCCAGACACCACGGAAAAGGCUGUAGGAAGGAGGUGGCAUGUGGCCUUUGUCUGUGAAGGGUCUGCAUGGUUAAGAACCAUGGGGGAGGGAACACAAGCAAAGCCAAGUUUUUCCCAUGCUGUAGCUCUUUGCCAUCUUGCCCAAAGGCAGACCUUUCUCAUUUUUAUUUUGCUUUGUCCUUUUUUUUUUUCAUCUAAAAUCUAAGACCUUUAUCGGAUGAGAAAAUAUAAAUAUUAUCAACGGUGACAUCCAAAACUUUACUGAGAAUUUUUCCAUAGCUUUUCUACCAUUUUUUUGUUCUCUUUCUAUAGCUUUUGAGCGUUCGAUUCCUCUUUUUGUUUUCUUUAGGCAGUUGAGGUACAUCCAUCCUCAGGCCGCCCUCUCUCUGCUUCCUUUCUGAUGCUAGCAUACUUUGCUAGCAUUCCAACUCUGUCUGAUUUUAGAUCACGGGGCUUCUUGUGUAUGAAACAAGGGGUUAACAUUUGGUAACUACUAAGGAUUGUUAUUUUGGAAGGGAAAUAAUUCUGUCUAACAAUAUGGCUACAUUGUAAAAGUCUGUAAUGGAAUGGGGUCAUCAUAACAAUAGUUAUUGUUACACAGCUGCUACUUAGUCCAAUUUGCUUUGGACUCACUGUUCAUUCCUAGCUACAGUGUAAAUACCUUACUGUUCAUUCCUAGCUACGGUGUAAAUACUUUGUGUUUUUAAGAGUACUUCUUCAUUGUGAUGAUUUUAUGUAAUUUACUAACAAGAUCUGAUAUGUUCAAAGCCUAGGGGCCAAGAGCAUAGUUCAGUGGGUAGAGUCCUUGACCAACAUGCCCAGAGCCCUGGACCCUAUCCCUACAGGUGGAAUGGCACAGGCCUAUGAGCUCAGCACCCCAGGAGUAGAAGCAGGAAGAUCAGAAGUUCAAAGUCACAUUCAGCUACAUAGCCGCUUUAACACCAGCCUGGGCUAUGUC
rnacentral:lncRNA from 1 species